CGGCCGCGGUACUCUGACCGUGCAAAGGUAGCAUAAUCAUUUGCCUUAUAAUUGAAGGCUGGAAUGAAUGGUUUGACAAGAAUACACCUGUCUCUUUUAGAUUACUUAGAAUUUUAUUUCUGAAUGAAAAAGUUCAGAUUUUAUUAAAAGACAAGAAGACCCUAUCGAGCUUUAGAAGAAUUAAUAGAUCUAAGGGGAUCAAUAUAGCUAAAAGAAAAACUAUUAAAUACUUUGGUUGGGGCAACCGAGGAGUAUCUAAAGCCUCCUUUAAUCUAUGAAUCUGACUUGUGUUGAUCCAAGUUUUUUGAUCAAAGGAAUUAGUUACCGUAGGGAUAACAGCAUUAUCUUUUUUGAGAGCCCAUAUCGAAAAAAAGGUUUGUGACCUCGAUGUUGGACCAGAAUGUCCUAAAGAUGCAGAAGUCUUUAAGGGUUGGUCUGUUCGA
rnacentral:rRNA from 1 species